CCUACGGGUGGCUGCAGUGGGGAAUAUUGGACAAUGGGCGAAAGCCUGAUCCAGCCAUGCCGCGUGUGUGAAGAAGGCCUUCGGGUUGUAAAGCACUUUCAGUGGGGAAGAAAGCCUUGGGGCUAAUACCCUCGAGGAAGGACAUCACCCACAGAAGAAGCACCGGCUAACUCCGUGCCAGCAGCCGCGGUAAUACGGAGGGUGCGAGCGUUAAUCGGAAUUACUGGGCGUAAAGCGCGCGUAGGCGGUCUGAUAAGCCGGUUGUGAAAGCCCCGGGCUCAACCUGGGAACGGCAUCCGGAACUGUCAGGCUAGAGUGCAGGAGAGGAAGGUAGAAUUCCCGGUGUAGCGGUGAAAUGCGUAGAGAUCGGGAGGAAUACCAGUGGCGAAGGCGGCCUUCUGGACUGACACUGACGCUGAGGUGCGAAAGCGUGGGUAGCAAACAGGAUUAGAUACCCUAGUAGU
rnacentral:rRNA from 1 species